rnacentral:rRNA from 1 species
CCUACGGGAGGCUGCAGUGAGGAAUAUUGGUCAAUGGACGGAAGUCUGAACCAGCCAUGCCGCGUGCAGGAAGACGGCUCUAUGAGUUGUAAACUGCUUUUGUACAAGGGUAAACCUGAAUACGUGUAUUCAGCUGAAAGUACUGUACGAAUAAGGAUCGGCUAAAGCCGUGCCAGGAGCCGCGGUAAUACGGAGGAUCCGAGCGUUAUCCGGAUUUAUUGGGGUUAAAGGGUGCGGAGGCGGGUUGCUCAGUUCGAGGGGAAAUGUCCGAGCUUAACUCGGGAACUGCCUCUAAUACUGUUGAUCUAGAGAGUAGAUGCGGUAGGCGGAAUGUAUGGUGUAGCGGUGAAAUGCUUAGAGAUCAUACAGAACACCGAUUGCGAAGGCAGCUUACCAAUCUAUAUCUGACGUUGAGGCACGAAAGCGUGGGGAGCAAACAGGAUUAGAUACCCUUGUAGUC